rnacentral:rRNA from 1 species
UCGAGGAUCUUCGGCAAUGGGCGCAAGCCUGACCGAGCGACGCCGCGUGCGGGAUGAAGGCCUUCGGGUUGUAAACCGCUGUCAGGGGGGAGGAAAGCCCGCAAGGGCAUGACCUAUCCCCAGAGGAAGCACGGGCUAAGUUCGUGCCAGCAGCCGCGGUAAGACGAACCGUGCGAACGUUGUUCGGAAUCACUGGGCUUAAAGGGCGCGUAGGCGGGCCGCCCAGUCCGGGGUGAAAGCCCUCGGCUCAACCGGGGAAGUGCCUUGGAUACUGGCGGUCUGGAGGGAGGUAGGGGCAGCUGGAACUUCCGGUGGAGCGGUGAAAUGCGUUGAUAUCGGAAGGAACGCCGGUGGCGAAAGCGAGCUGCUGGACCUCUUCUGACGCUGAGGCGCGAAAGCCAGGGGAGCGAACGGGAUUAGAUACCCCGGUAGUCCUGGCCCUAAACGAUGGGUACUAGGGUAGUGGACUUGACA